rnacentral:lncRNA from 1 species
UCAGAGUAUUUAAUUUAAUUUACAGUAACAAGUGGGCCCUCAAAUAACCAAAAGUAAGAAAGAUUGUGAACCUACAGUUUGGAGGAUGCAAAUCCAAUGGUGGUCCUCGAUGAAAUCAGCUAUCUAUAGACUAUACUAAGCCUGAAAUUGGUAGAAAUGAGGGUGGUGAGAUUAUAUAAUCCCAAUGAGUAAACAGAUACCAUCUAAAAUAUCUAAAGCUGAGUAAAUGAAGACAGAUAAAAUGGUUUAACAUACUGUAAUUCAUCACCUUUCAACUUGUUUCAACCAAAUAAAAUCAAUUCAUAUAAAUCGAGUAAUCAACAUGGCUUAUGAAUUUCAUAAAAUUUUGGCUCGUGCCAAAAUCAUUCUCAUACCCAGUUAUCAGGGAUGCCUUGAUCGAGGGCUAUUGUCACGAUCCGAAACUCCCCAUCGGGCUCGUAACAACAACCGUGAGGCCUCGACAAACAUUCUUCACCCCAAAUAUCGAUCGAAACCUCACAAGGCUCUCGUAUCAGCUUUUGCACUUCCCCGGUGAGCAAUAGUUAUCAAAUAUCAAAAUUCAAAGGAUUACAAAUCAUUUCCAAAUCAGAACAUAACAUAUUGUUUUCUGG